GUUAUUUACCAAUUUGUAUGAAAAGUUUAAAAAAAUGUAACUCAUGAACCGUAAGUUUGCGCAACCGAAAACUUUGCAAAACUCUUUAUUUUAGUGCAUACUUUCAUUCUUUUCCUAAUCCGACAAAAUAUCCUGAAUUGUUCAACCAAUGGAUAUCAGUAGUUGGAGCUGAAUUGACAGGAUUAGAUCUAAUAAAAAUAUAUAAAAACAAAGUGGUGUGUGACUACCACUUUUCACCGCAGCAAAAAGUUACUGUUCAUCGAUUGAUCAAUGGUGCUCUGCCAUGUUUAUAUUUGAAAGGUUUUGUUGCAUCAGAUGGCACUUCAGUAGUGCUGGAACAUAAUUAUUGCGUACCACGCAUGAAUGAAGCCCCAGUGACCUUAACAGAGUCAAAUUCAUCAAAAAAUAUUCCUGAUGAGGGUGAGAGCAUUUCUGUUUUUGCUAAGGAUUUGGACACUCGGACUUCUUCAUCGAAAGAAAAUAAGGAUAAAGACAAAUCAGUGAAAUAUACUAUUGCUAAAGUGAAGAGUACACAGAGACAAGUGAGGGCAUUAAAAGCUAAAUUACAGAAAACAAAAAAACUGCAGCUAAAGUAUAAAGAUAGAGUGGAAAGGGCAAAAAAAGUAAUCUCUAAUACCGGAUUAUUAGAAAUGGUCACAAGAAACAUCACAUUAUCAAGUAAAAUAUUUACCGAGAUGCAAUUUCGAAAUGUUAGGGCUUAUUAUCAAAAUAUUUUAAAUUGCCAUCGGCAAAAACCCUUAAAAAAGUAUAAGA